ACAUGCCAACAACAUAGCAUUAAUGUAUUGGAUCCUAUCAGAACUUCGCAGUUAAGCACACUCAAGCUAGAGUAGUAUUGGGAUGGGUGACCGUCUGAGAAUUCCUAGUGUUGUACAUGCC
rnacentral:rRNA from 1 species